rnacentral:snRNA from 1 species
AUCGCUUCUGGCGUAUGGCCUCAGAUCAAGUGUAGUUUCUGUUCUUAUCAUUUUAAUAUCUGAUAGGCCACCUAUGAGGAGGGUAUAUAUUAAAUUAUGGCCAGCAGCCAUAUCACUCUGCACAUCACAACUCAACUCAACAGAUUUAUUACACUUAAUAGAUUAGCGAAU